rnacentral:rRNA from 1 species
UACGUAGGGUGCGAGCGUUAAUCGGAAUUACUGGGCGUAAAGCGUGCGCAGGCGGUUUUGUAAGCCAGAUGUGAAAUCCCCGGGCUUAACCUGGGAAUGGCAUUUGGGACUGCAAGGCUUGAGUGCGGCAGAGGAGACUGGAAUUCCUGGUGUAGCAGUGAAAUGCGUAGAUAUCGGGAGGAACACCAGUGGCGAAGGCGACACCCUGGACCAGCACUGACACUGAGGCACGAAAGCGUGGGGAGCAAACAGG